AGAACAGAUACUACACUUGA
rnacentral:snRNA from 1 species